ACUCAAAUGAAUUGACGGGGGCCCGCACAAGCGGUGGAGCAUGUGGUUUAAUUCGAUGCAACGCGAAGAACCUUACCUGGUCUUGACAUCCACGGAAGUUUUCAGAGAUGAGAAUGUGCCUUCGGGAGCCGUGAGACAGGUGCUGCAUGGCUGUCGUCAGCUCGUGUUGUGAAAUGUUGGGUUAAGUCCCGCAACGAGCGCAACCCUUAUCCUUUGUUGCCAGCGGUCCGGCCGGGAACUCAAAGGAGACUGCCA
rnacentral:rRNA from 1 species